rnacentral:rRNA from 1 species
UACGUAGGGUGCAAGCGUUAAUCGGAAUUACUGGGCGUAAAGCGUGCGCAGGCGGUUAUGCAAGCCAGAUGUGAAAUCCCCGGGCUCAACCUGGGAACUGCAUUUGUGACUGCAUGGCUAGAGUGCGGCAGAGGGGGAUGGAAUUCCGCGUGUAGCAGUGAAAUGCGUAGAUAUGCGGAGGAACACCGAUGGCGAAGGCAAUCCCCUGGGCCUGCACUGACGCUCAUGCACGAAAGCGUGGGGAGCAAACAGG